rnacentral:rRNA from 1 species
AAUCUUCCACAAUGGACGAAAGUCCGAUGGAGCAACGCCGCGCGAGUGAAGAAGGUUCCCGGAUCGUAAAGCUCUGUUGUAAGGGAGGAACAAGUACAGGAGUAACUGUCUGUACCUUGACGGUACCUUACCAGAAAGCCACGGCUCACUCUGUGCCCGACGCCGCGGUAAUACGUAGGUGGCAAGCGUUGUCCGGAAUUAUUGGGCGUAAAGCGCGCGCAGGCGGUCCUUUAAGUCUGAUGUGAAAGCCCCCGGCUCAACCGUGGAGGGUCAUUGGAAACUGGAGGACUUGAGUACAGGAGAGGAAAGCGGAAUUCCACGUGUAGCGGUGAAAUGCGUAGAGAUGUGGAGGAACACCAGUGGCGAAGGCGGCUCACUGGCCUGUAACUGACGCUGAGGCUCGAAAGCGUGGAGAGCAAACA